UUGACAAUAAGGGUGGAGUAACAUAAGUUCAGGAGUGAGGGUAGAGCGGGGUUUCCCCCGCCCUGGUAGUCUUAGUAUGCUGGGUAGCUAAUCACUAAGAGCACCACGAUGAUGAGUAUCUUCAUCAUGACCCUGUCCUUAUU
rnacentral:sRNA from 1 species